rnacentral:rRNA from 1 species
UUUAAAUCUUUAGAAAAGUAUUAAUAAAGAAAAWWAAAAUUUUUGGCAGUUAGACCCACAAAUCUUAAAGGAGCUUGCUUAUUAAUCGAAUUUACCCGUUUAAUCUUAUUUAUUUAAGCUUAUUUAUCUCCGUUAAUAAGCCCCUUGGCUUAACAAUCAAAAAAUUCAAUUUCAGGUCAAGAUAUAGCAAAAAUAAAACUAAGUUAGCUACCCUCCAACAAUAGACCUCUUUAAAAAUUAAAGAAUAAAAAUGGAUUUAAACGUAAUUUAUUUUAAAAAAAAAAAAUGAACUCUUUCACCUA